CAGUCGUACCGACGAUAAAUCAGCUCCUCGAGUGCGGACUUGCGGGCGUGCGUGAGCUUUAAAACCUCGCUGUUUGCAAUGUUUGUACUUUUUGGGUGUACUUUUUCGUAUGGUAGGCCAACGUCAGUUUCGAUUACCAUAAAAUGACCGGAGGAAUGUAGCUUCGAUCUCGUAUUGAAGUGUUAUAGCCCCUGGUAGAUGUGGUGACUGAAACUGAGGAUUGCAACGAAUACCCUUUGGGCUAUCCGUCUGAUCUCUGAAAGUUGCUUAGGUGCCGAAAGCAUGCUUACGGUUAUUUAAGUUGACGGUCAAUAGGUUAGAACGUGAUUACA
rnacentral:rRNA from 1 species